GUGAACUGCCUACCACGGCUAACGAGCCUCACCUGCCCGGGUUUGUUUAGAGUUUGCUCUCCUAGGUGAAUUACCUCCCACGGCUAACGACCUCCACCUGCCCGGGUUUAUUGUUCGGAGUUUGCUCUCCUAGGUGAAUUGCCUACCACGGCUAACGACCUCCACCUGCCCGGGUUUGUUUAGAGUUUGCUCUCCUAGGUGAAUUGCCUCCCACGGCUAACGACCUCCACCUGCCCGGGUUUGUUUAGAGUUUGCUCUCCUAGGUGAAUUGCCUCCCACGGCUAACGAGCCUCACCUGCCCGGGUUUGUUUAGAGUUUGCUCUCCUAGGUGAAUUACCUCCCACGGCUAACGACCUCCACCUGCCCGGGUUUAUUGUUCGGAGUUUGCUCUCCUAGGUGAAUUGCCUACCACGGCUAACGAGCUCCACCUGCCCGGGUUUAUUGUUCGGAGUUUGCUCUCCUAGGCAGACUGCCUACCACGGCUAACGAGCUCCACCUGCCCGGGUUUGUAGCCGGAAGAUCUCCGGCACCUCCGUCGGGGCCCCGAGGGACGCCGAGGAGCCCUGCCUGGAGCCCUCCAGUCCUGCCAUGCUCGCCAGGGAGACCUUGGGCUCGCUGGCGCUCCACACCCCCGCCGAGGUGAGGAUGCAAGAACUCGCUUCUUAAAACUACCAGACUGGAUUAUAAAAUUAAUGAUAAUUACUGUGAAGGCGCCGGUCACCGCGUUUAUCGGUUCAGGGAUGGAAGACCGACGGGCCUGGGAAACGCGCACAAGCAUCCAAAGGAAUCCUCGCGACGGCUUGCGACGCAGCAUCCGUUUCCCUUUUCUUUCUCAUUCCAAUUUUUCUUUUUUAUUAUAUUUUCCUUCUCUGA